AGUCUUACCGCGUACAUUUAUAGUCGAGCGGCCCAUCAAUCUUAAUAGAGGAGACGAGCGCAAAGAGCCGAUGAAACGCCAAACAUGAUCACUAUUCAGUCCAAGAGGGCAAGGAGAGAAGGAGGAGUGGGAGGGAGAGGAGAAGAAGGAUGAGGUCCGAGAGGCUGGAGCACAGGAGGCGGUGUGUGGCGAAGUGAACCUGGGAAUGUCUGCAACAGCUGUGAGAAACCAUCUGAUCUGCCAUUCCUCACACUUCAACAGGCAACAAGAGAGCGAUUUAUGACGACUGGAGAGGGAGAGGGACAAGGAGACAUAAACAGACUGGGCCAGGGACAAAGAAUUAAAUAAACACGGGGAAUAAUAUGAGGAGUUCAAGGCAGGAAUGUGAUAAAGGAGGAAAAAUUAAAGGAGAGGGAGAGAUGGAUGGAGUGAAGGGAGCCGAGUGACAGAUUAAGUGCUGGUUGAGAUGGCUGAGAAAGGAGCUGGAAGGAGCCAAAAGAUCGAGAUUAAAAUCUCUGAGAUUUCAGUGUCAAAGUUUCAGAUCAUAUCGUACAUUCUUUACAAUAAAGUCAGAGUUUAACAGGACACCAAGGCGCAUGGAGUGAUAUGUCACAAACGUGAAAUCCGCAGACACAAAAAGACCCAUCAGAAUCAAGGACGAGCAGCAGAACAUUGGAGGUUUUUGUGCCAAAAAUCAUGGCGGCCCGCCUGAUGAUAGGAUCAGUCGCUUUGAGGUAUCCGGAGCUUCCAGUACGGUUUGACUACAACUCUUAAAAAUGGACCACUUCCCUAUCCAUAGGGUCAUCUUCUAAAAGCCCCUCGCCUUGAGGAUGUGGUUAAUAUCCAGGUCUUCUGGGUGAGAAACUAUCUAAAUACGGGUCGUCUGAAGAAUUUAAAGAUCUUCUCCCGUGUAGCUACCUCCACCCCCUUGUUUCCACGUUACCUCCUGUCGCCUUCUUGUUUUCCGUCUGCCUGUGCUGUCUGCGGUGGGUUAGUGGUGUGAACACUUAGUUUAUUUGCUCUUUUAAUACAAGCUGACCCCUGCCCCCCUCCCCAGCAUCCCCCGAUGUGUGUGUGCGUGUGCAUACAUGUGAGCGCGGGUGCGUGCAAGCCCAGAGAGCACUCUCCCAUGACAACUACGUCAGCGACCCGGAGACGGUGUCGAAAGAAGACCACACCGCAACGAGGGAGACAGCUCACGCCAGCCCAGGACACAUGCGCACAAAUAAACCUCAUGCGCAUAUACACUCAUGUCCAACAAAGCAAAGCCGUAGGACGGAGUGUGUAUGUGUGUGUAUAUAUAUGUACGUGUGUGUGUUUAUGUGUGUUUUGGAGCCGAGGAAAUCUUCAGCAUGUGUUUCAAGAAUCCCCGGGGCUCGCGCUCAGCCGGGAUUGGCUGAAGGGGCCCGCCGCGUUUGUUUCCAUAGUGACAAAGCCGUCGCUGUCAAGCGCCACCCAGGUAGAGCUGUCAAUCACGCUGGCUCGCAGCCAACCACACGCAGGCCGUGCCGCGACCAAUCACAGCCGGCUCCAUCUAUCGAGAAAACCAGUGGGUUAUGAUCACAGACUCUGAGGUCGGUGAUGUAUCUCUGCCCAAAACUGCAUGAACAGGAAGAAGAAAUGGUUGGCGAUUUGGAUUAUUUCGCCUCACCGAAUAAAGAUGGCAACUUCCAUCAAAAUGUUUAUCUAUUUCAAUCUUUGUGUCAAUAAGAACAAAGCUUCUUCAAGGACAGCUUUGAGACCAGUUACCUGAUGGGUAACCCAACAUGUUUAGAGAAAAACCAGGCAGAACAAAAGCAGAAAGACCGUGGCCGUGAUUCAAACUCAGGGGCUUCUUGCUACAGGAUAACAAUGCUAGCCUUACGCUACCAACGGCGCCGCAUUGCAGCUCGCCUGUGGAAACUUGAACGUGUCAUUUUCAGCUGCAUGUUUGAGACUUCUGUGCUUUUGUUUUCGCCUGACUCUGUAGCGACGUCUCUGACCAUGUAGUUUAAUGCCGUUAGCUAACAUCCUUCCAUCAAGAUGUCAAAGCAGUGGUUCUGCUGCCGAGGCUGUAUCCCUUCUGAGUUGAUCCCCAUGAGGUGGAGGACAUCAGCCAGUACAACAAUUGGUUUCCAUGGAGACUGAACGCAAGUUAGAGGAAGAACAGCCGCCUGAGAAUGGCCUGACGAUCCCUGUUACUACCACCGUUUCCUUUCGCGUCCCCGUCCCCAGCAGACUUCAUCAGAGCAAAUCUUUGUCUCAAACAAGUGAGUUUGAGUCUCCUACAACUGAAAUGCUUCAAAAUAAGUGAACAAUUUCUUGUUUUCUGAUCAGAUCAAUUUCAGACCCUCUUAUCUGCUUAAAAGAAAAUAGGCAAAUCUUAUAAUCUGUGUAUUUUUUUUAACUCUGUAUUUCUGGGAUAUCAUGUCGUUGAAAUCCAGACUUUAGUAACCAGGUCUGUUUUUAUUUUAGCUGUAGUGGAAUAAAUGAAUCACUGAAUGCAUCUUCAAAGCUUGAUACAUUUAUUUUACUGAAUAAACCUAAUUACUGUGUUUUCCAGUUGUACGUAAGUGCUGUGACAGGUGUGUGUGUGUGUUCUGCGUUAAUCCCUGUCCUUGCUGAGCAGUCACAUACCGCACACAAGAAAAAGACUUUUGUUCCCUGCGGGCUACAGUAGUCUGCAGUCUGUGUGCCUGACCGGCUGAAUACAGUAAAGCCCUUUUGCACUGUAAUCUCAGAUCAAUAAUAGUGAUCUGUGGCUAAUCAUCAAUA